UACGGAGGGAGCUAGCGUUGUCCGGAAUCAUUGGGCGUAAAGCGCGUGUAGGCGGCUUGGUAAGUCCGUUCUGAAAGCCCGGGGCUCAACCCCGGGAGGCGGAUGGAUACUGCCAAGCUCGAGUCCGGAAGAGGCAAGUGGAAUUCCCGGUGUAGCGGUGAAAUGCGCAGAUAUCGGGAGGAACACCAAUGGCGAAGGCAGCUUGCUGGGACGGUACUGACGCUGAGACGCGAAAGCGUGGGGAGCAAACAGG
rnacentral:rRNA from 1 species